rnacentral:rRNA from 1 species
GACGAACGCUGGCGGCGUGCUUAACACAUGCAAGUCGAACGGAAAGGCCCUGCUUGCAGGGUACUCGAGUGGCGAACGGGUGAGUAACACGUGGGUGAUCUGCCCUGCACUUCGGGAUAAGCCUGGGAAACUGGGUCUAAUACCGGAUAGGAGCCAUUUUUAGUGUGAUUGUUGGAAAGUUUUUUCGGUGUAGGAUGAGCUCGCGGCCUAUCAGCUUGUUUGUGGGGUAAUGGCCUACCAAGGCGGCGACGGGUAGCCGGCCUGAGCGGGUGGACGGCCACAUUAGGACUGAGCUACGGCCCAGACUCAUACCGGAGGCAGCAGUGGGGAAUAUUGCACAAUGGGAGCAAGCCUGAUGCAGCGACGCCGCGUGGGGUAUGACGGCCUUCGGGUUGUAAACUCCUUUCGCUAGGGACGAAGCUUUUUGUGACGGUACCUAGAUAAGAAGCACCGGCUAACUACGUG